rnacentral:rRNA from 1 species
GAUGAACGCUGGCGGCGUGCCUAAUACAUGCAAGUCGAGCGAACAGACGAGGAGCUUGCUCCUCUGACGUUAGCGGCGGACGGGUGAGUAACACGUGGAUAACCUACCUAUAAGACUGGGAUAACUUCGGGAAACCGGAGCUAAUACCGGAUAAUAUAUUGAACCGCAUGGUUCAAUAGUGAAAGACGGUUUUGCUGUCACUUAUAGAUGGAUCCGCGCCGCAUUAGCUAGUUGGUAAGGUAACGGCUUACCAAGGCGACGAUGCGUAGCCGACCUGAGAGGGUGAUCGGCCACACCGGAACUGAGACACGGUCCAGACUCCUACGGGAAGCAGCAGUAGGGAAUCUUCCGCAAUGGGCGAAAGCCUGACGGAGCAACGCCGCGUGAGUGAUGAAGGUCUUCGGAUCGUAAAACUCUGUUAUUAGGGAAGAACAAAUGUGUAAGUAACUAUGCACGUCUUGACGGUACCUAAUCAGAAAGCCACGGCUAACUACGUG